rnacentral:lncRNA from 1 species
GUCUUGUUGAACUAUAAAUUACAUACCAUUAAAUUCAUGUUCAUUGUAAAUUACAGCUAACUGAUUUUUGGUAAAUUCCCAGAGUUGUGCAUCCAUCACCCAAAUCGAAGUUUGGAAGAUCUCCAUUACCCCUAAAGCACUUUCCUCAUGCCUGUUUCCAUUUCCAGCCCUAGGCAGUCACUGAUUGGUUUUCUACGUUUAUAAUUUUUUUCCUACAUUUCAUGUAAAUGGAACUAUACAAUGCACAUUUUGUGUGUCUUCCUUCGUUUGCAUAAUGUGUUUGAGUUUUAUCCUUUUGUAGCAGGUAUUGAUGCUUUUAAAAAUUAUUAGUGCAUUUUAACUACACAGAAUAAUGGAGUUCAUUGUGGCCUGCAUCGAUUGUUAAUGCAUUUUUAUUGCUGAAUAUUGUUCUGUUUUGUAAAAAAGAUGAAUUUAUUUAUCUAGAUGCCAGCUCAUGAACCUAUGCUCUGUCCCACUUAUUACCAUUAUGAGUUAUGAACAUUUGUGUACAGGUCUUUGUGUGAAUGUAGGUUUUUAUUUCUUUUGGGUCUAUUCCUAAGGGUGUCACUGCAUGGUCAUAUGAUAAUUUGUUUAGCUUUAAAGAAACUGUAAACUGUUUUCCAGUGUUUGUAUUGCUUUACAUCCCUCCAGUAAUGUAUGAAGUUCUAGUGUCUCUCCAUCCCUGCCAACAUCAGUGUUUUCAUGAUUACAGUCCUUCUAAUGGGUGAAG